UCAAUACUCCCUCCGUCCCAAAAUUCUUGUCUUAGAUUUGUCUAAAUACGGAUGUAUCAAGUCACGUUUUAGUAUUAGGUACAUCCGUAUCUAGACAAAUCUAAGAUAAGAAUUUUGGGACGGAGGGAGUACUUC
rnacentral:pre_miRNA from 1 species